rnacentral:rRNA from 1 species
AGAGUUUGAUCAUGGCUCAGGACGAACGCUGGCGGCGUGCUUAACACAUGCAAGUCGAACGAGAUCCAUUCAGUAGCGAUACUGAUGAAGAUCUAGUGGCGAACGGGUGCGUAACACGUGAGGAACUUGUCCCGGUCUCUGGGAUAACAGUUGGAAACGACUGCUAAUACCGGAUGACGUCGGAAUUUCGCAUGGAGUACUGACGAAAGGGUUACUGGAUCGGGAGAGCCUCGCGGCCUAUCAGCUUGUUGGUGGGGUAAUGGCCUACCAAGGCAUCGACGGGUAGCUGGUCUGAGAGGAUGAUCAGCCACACUGGGACUGAGACACGGCCCAGACUCCUACGGGAGGCAGCAGUGGGGAAUCUUGCACAAUGGGCGAAAGCCUGAUGCAGCAACGCCGCGUGCGGGAAGAAGGCCCUCGGGUUGUAAACCGCUUUCAGAAGGAACGAAACUGACGGUACUUUCAGAAGAAGGUGCGGCCAACUACGUGCCAGCAGCCGCGGUGACACGUAGGCACCAAGCGUUGUCCGGAUUUAUUGGGCGUAAAGAGCUCGUAGGCGGUUCAGUAAGUCGGGUGUGAAAACUUUGGGCUUAACCCAAAGCGUGCAUCCGAUACUGCUGUGACUUGAGUACGGUAGGGGAGCGGGGAAUUCCUAGUGUAGCGGUGAAAUGCGCAGAUAUUAGGAGGAACACCGGUGGCGAAGGCGCCGCUCUGGGCCGAAACUGACGCUGAGGAGCGAAAGCAUGGGUAGCAAACAGGAUUAGAUACCCUAGUAGUCC